CGACACGCGAUACGAUGGUUGGGUUUGGAUUGUUGUACUUUUUUUUUUGUUCGUUGCAUUUUUGGGAACAAAAAAAAAAGCCCAACCCUUCACACCACUUCAUCGGCAUCUGUGAGGAG
rnacentral:precursor_RNA from 14 species